rnacentral:rRNA from 1 species
AUUGAACGCUGGCGGAAUGCUUUACACAUGCAAGUCGAACGGCAGCACGGGUGCUUGCACCUGGUGGCGAGUGGCGAACGGGUGAGUAAUACAUCGGAACGUACCCUGACGUGGGGGAUAACGUAGCGAAAGUUACGCUAAUACCGCAUACGUCCUGAGGGAGAAAGCAGGGGAUCGUAAGACCUUGCGUGUUAGUAGCGGCCGAUGGCGCAUAAGCUAGUUGGUAGGGUAAAGGGCUACCAAGGCGACGAUCCGUAGCGGGUCUGAGAGGACGACCCGCCACACUGGAACUGAGACACGGUCCAGACUCCUACGGGAGGCAGCAGUGGGGAAUUUUGGACAAUGGGCGAAAGCCUGAUCCAGCCAUUCCGCGUGAGUGAAGAAGGCCUUCGGGUUGUAAAGCUCUUUCGGCAGGGAAGAAACGGUUUUGGAUAAUACCCAGAACUAAUGACGGUACCUGAAGAAGAAGCACCGGCUAACUACGUGCCAGCAGCCGCGGUAA